rnacentral:rRNA from 1 species
UACGGGGGGGGCAAGCGUUGCUCGGAAUUACUGGGCGUAAAGGGCUCGUAGGUGGCCAACUAAGUCAGACGUGAAAUCCCUCGGCUUAACCGGGGAACUGCGUCUGAUACUGGAUGGCUUGAGUUUGGGAGAGGGAUGCGGAAUUCCAGGUGUAGCGGUGAAAUGCGUAGAUAUCUGGAGGAACACCGGUGGCGAAGGCGGCAUCCUGGACCAAUACUGACGCUGAGGAGCGAAAGCCAGGGGAGCAAACGGG